rnacentral:rRNA from 1 species
GAUCCUGGCUCAGGACGAACGCUGGCGGCGCGCCUAACACAUGCAAGUCGAACGAGAGAGAGGGAGCUUGCUUCUUCGAUCGAGUGGCGAACGGUGAGUAACGCGUGAGGAACCUGCCUCAAAGAGGGGGACGAACAGUUGGAAACGACUGCUAAUACCGCAUAAGCCCACGGGUCGGGCAUCGACCUGAGGGGAAAAAGGAGAAUCCGCUUUGAGAUGGCCUCGCGUCCGAUUAGCUAGUUGGUG